UCUGCUGCGCUAUGAUGGGAAAUCCUAUUUCAAGAUUUUCAAGCUCUAGAAACUGCUGAUUGUUUUUAAAUAAGAGAUACAAGGAUUCCCUGUGACCUAGCAGUUAAGGACUUGGUGUUGUCACUGCUAUGGCUCUUGUCACUGCUGUGGCUCAGUUCCUUCUGUGGCCCAGGAACUUCUGCAUACAAGAAGCUGGUGUUAUUCAGGUCACUUUCAGAUUAAGGCAGUUACAUGCACGUAUGUAUUUGACUAUCUUUGAGGAUCUAGUUCAGCAUGACUGAGGGGUAGUUUAAGGACUUUAAGGAGGCAAAGUAGGGUUAAUGAAGCACAUGGUAAACCUGAGCCUGGUCUGACUUUGAAUUUGGGUUUGAAAAUUGCUAGCUAGGUGGACCUGUGAUGAAUUAGUUAAUGUCCCCAUUUUCUGUUUCUGAAAAAUGGGAAUAAAUAGUACUCCCACAUUGCGGAAUAUUGGAGAAAAGUUUAUGAUAGCUGAGCCAUAGUAAAUUCUCAGUAAAUCCCCAUUGCCUCCCUUUGAUCUCAUGGACUAUAUUCUGAAGGGAUCAUUUGUUCUCCAACUCAUUUGUUUUAUCUCUUCUCAUGUAGCUACUCCUUUAAGGAAAGUAAAGGAAGCAUUUAUUACUGGCUUGGUGAACAACAUAGGCAGCAUGCUGACCCAGUUCUACGGAUUCACCCUAUUAAGGAAGAAAUGGAGAUUCCUGAUUUGAGAGAUUGCUUGGUCAAAAUUCGGCAAGACUACAAUUUGCAUAUGCUGCUAAGCCCUUCGGCAUUGUGUUCUUUUCACUGACAGAAUGUGUUCCACAAGAAGUAUCUGCCUGUGGCCAGCAUGGUGAGUUGAUGGCUUGGCCACCACCACCUCGAGAGAAAACUGGUGCAGCCAGAGGUGAUGUGCUCCAAAUGAUAACUGCCAUCCCCUGUCUAUGUGGGUUCUCACAGUCAUAAUAUAGUUUAUAUCACAUCAGAAAAAUUAAUGUGCCUACUUCUCAAAUGUAAAGAUACUUACCAGACAUUGUAAAAGCAUAUUCAUGUAAGUGAAUUUGUUCAGGUAAAACUAUUACCUGUUGAGCUCUAGAGAUGUGAGCUACAGUGAGAGCUGUUUUCUUUUUGUAUAUAACUUUCUCACCAUGAUUUCUGUAUCAUGACACUGCCAUUAUUCUGUGUCAAGUCCCCCAUGUACCCCCAGGUCACAUUGUCUUGAGGUGGGGUAUCCUUUGAGUCCCAGAAUAACCACAGGUCUAGACAGAAUCCUAUGUGAACCAGCAGAAACCUCCAUGAAAAGGAGCGAUGUUUUCCUUGCUUCUUCCCCCUGCCCUCAAAAGUGCUCCCAUAAGAUUUCUGAACUAGGAGAGUAGAAAGAGAAGUACUUUAAAAUCUGCAUUUUUAAUUACAUUUUUAGCAUUCUCCUGCGCAGUUCUGUAACAUCUGUAGUGCUAAGCACUGGGGAGAAGAAAGUGCCAUUUUGGAGAUGAAAAAAUAGGUUGAUUCUGUGUUGGCUUCUUCCUUGCUACUCUUUGAAGACUGUUUUUGCAGCAACAGAAGCUUUUGUUGUCAUCAGUGAUGUUGAGAGAUUUAUACAUGUUUAUGUUCGGCUCAAGAAAAGCUGCUUUAUCUUCUGUCUACUAGGUCUUUUUCUUUGCAGUUGAUAAAGAAGUUGGGGUUCGUUUCUUCCAUGCCUUGAAAGAUGUGGGUUUGUUAUUAUUUAAUCAUUUAUUUUGUUAGGUUUCCACACCUAAAUAAAGAAUGAGUCAAAAUCUGGGAGUUGGACA
rnacentral:lncRNA from 1 species